rnacentral:rRNA from 1 species
UACGAAGGGAGCUAGCGUUGCUCGGAAUCACUGGGCGUAAAGGGUGCGUGGGCGGGUCUUUAAGUCAGGGGUGAAAUCCUGGAGCUCAACUCCAGAACUGCCUUUGAUACUGAGGAUCUUGAGUUCGGGAGAGGUGAGUGGAACUGCGAGUGUAGAGGUGAAAUUCGUAGAUAUUCGCAAGAACACCAGUGGCGAAGGCGGCUCACUGGCCCGAUACUGACGCUGAGGCACGAAAGCGUGGGGAGCAAACAGG